AGGAAGUUGAGACUUUCCAGUCCUCAUGCCAGAAAUCAGGAAGUGCAAAGUUAUUUUCAAGCACAUGCAGUGAGAGGCUGUGAAGCAUAUGUUGUGAGCUGCUGUUGAAAAUAGAUGAAGUGGGGAAGGACUUUACUUGCUGGGCAUUUCCAGGGAUGCUACUGGUUUUCAACCUAACCAAAUGAAAAACUUCGGAUUAUUUGCCUAAUUGAACAUGGAAAACUGUCUAAAUAAAGCAAAGAAGGAAGAUUAAAGAAGAAAUCAUUUGAGUUGAUUCCAUUUAACCCUGUUGAUGGCCAAGGCCUUUUUCAAGUUUGGGCAGAAGUAAAGUAAAGCCCCCUGUGAACUUGACAGUGUCCGAGCCACCGAGGCCCAGCCAAUCAGCGUCCUGUGUGGAGCUACUGGCAGCUACGGUAACUCCCACUGCCAUCUGUGAGUCGGUGCCAGAGUUUGCCCAAGAAGUCUCAUUCUU